rnacentral:lncRNA from 1 species
UCAUUCGUAUGUGCUUUGGCCAUGUGGCUGUCUUUCAUUACAUUGCUGGAGUAGCAUUAUCAGAUUAUUUUCACUUCCAGCACUGAUGGGCAGAUGGAUACAGCAAGUUAAUUAUUAUAUUUGUUAUUGAUCAAUAGGUAAUUAGAUUUAACAGGAAAAGGAUUUUUUUGCAAAAGAGGCAAAGGAUAUUAAUGGCAUUAAAAAUAAGAAAGGAAUCCUAGGUUUUAAGUUAUUAAUAUCAUUGGAUCUCACUAGACAUGUCAUGCAUGUCACGCCUCUCCGUCCGUUACACCCCAUAUAUUUUAUCUUAUGUGGUAUUCU